rnacentral:piRNA from 1 species
GUAUCUUGUAUCCUGCACUCCCAAUGGU